rnacentral:rRNA from 2 species
CUGCGGCAGCGUUGGGUAG